rnacentral:rRNA from 1 species
AUUGAACGCUGGCGGCAGGCCUAACACAUGCAAGUCGAACGAGUGGCGGACGGGUGAGUAAUGUCUGGGAAACUGCCUGAUGGAGGGGGAUAACUACUGGAAACGGUAGCUAAUACCGCAUACCAGCGGAUGUGCCCAGAUGGGAUUAGCUAGUAGGUGGGGUAAAGGCUCACCUAGGCGACGAUCCCUAGCUGGUCUGAGAGGAUGACCAGCCACACUGGAACUGAGACACGGUCCAUACUCCUACGUGCGGCAGCAGUGUGGAAUAUUGCACAAUGGGCGCAAGCUGUAUCCAGCCAUGCCGCGUGUAUGAAGAAGGCCUUCGGGUUGGAAAGUACUUUCAGCGGGGAGGCGGUACCCGCAGAAGAAGCACCGGCUAACUCCGUGCCAGCAGCCGCGGUAAUUC